AAAGUGAUAGGAGUUGUCAAGUUUUGAAAUGAAUAAUAGGAAGUCUUCAGAGUGAAGCUUAUCAAAGAGAUGUGCUAAAAAUACAGCUGGCUCCAAGAGCAUCUGGGAAGCAGAAGGAUUAGCGAGGAGCCCUUAAUUGCAGCAGAACAAAGACCCCUGCUGAAGGGAAUGUUUCUUUCACCAGUUGCACCUGCAAGCAGAGGUCCCCAACCCCCGGACCAUGGCCAGGUACCAAUCUGUGGCCUGUUAGAAACCAGGCUGCAUAGCAUGAGAAGCAGCAAGUGCAGAGGUUAAGAACAUGGACACUGGAACCAGACUGCCUGGGGGCCCUGCCACUUACCAGCUAUGUGACCUUUGCUAAAGAUUUAUCUUUUCUGUGCCUCUGUUUGCUUAUCUGUAAAACAUGGAUAACCACAGUACCAACAUUAUGGUGUUGUGAUGAUUCAAUAGCUUAUACUAUUCAAUACACUUGAAACAGUUCCUGGCACCUAAUAAAUGUUACCUAAG
rnacentral:lncRNA from 1 species